rnacentral:lncRNA from 1 species
UUUUUUUUUUUUUUUUUUUUUUUUCCUAUUUCUGGUGGCGGGCGGCUGGGGAAGCAGCUCUUGUGGUCUCCCGGCGGGUGAGGCCGAGAGAGAAACCGACCUCUAGGCGGCGCCCUGGCGUUGAGUCCGCGCUGAACAAGAUUCUCGCCCAGCUCUGCGUCCCGCGCCGGGUGAAGGGGCCUGUUCCCGCAGGCGCUCGGGGCUCGGCCUGGAGCUGGCCGCCGGCAUGUCGCCUUUGGCGCCCUCUGCCAACCAAGAGAAACACGGUUAAAUGAGUGCGCUGGGACACAAAUCCACAGCUAAUCAAGGCCCCAUCCGCCCCCACCCCCUGGCCCUUACCUUCUAACCCCAUCUCCUACGCUAGGGAGCCUUCCACAGCCCGAAUCUCCUUUGAUCUCCCCAGCAGCAGGCUAGAGGGCAGCGCCAGCAUCUUUAACCCCCUCCCCCAGCUUGCAAAAGAAGACACUGAGGUCCGAAGGAAUUAAGUGAUUAGCCCAAGAUCAGAGCAGCUAUUAAAAGUGGUGAAGCAGGGCUGGAGGGGGAGCCCUCUAUUCCAAGGGUAAUGUUCUUUAUCCGAAAUUACCAUAACCAUUCACCCCCUCAAAACGUGUCUUUCUUGUAAGCAAAAUUCAUCUCCAGAAAGGCAGCUUUUUGGUGUUUUCUAUGUUGGACGUUUGGCGUUUCUUGAGUUUCAAAUUUGUGGAGGCCCAUGAGAAAACUGGAGGCGGACAUAGGGACAGCUGGGCCAGGAUUCAGAGCCAGGACAAAUCCAGUCCCCUCUCUUCCAAUAAAUGCUAACUCCUCACUUAUGACCUCCCUGGCUGCAUAACCCUGGCCAAGUGCCUUAGGCCCCGAGGUGCCCAGAUUAAGACCUACUGGACAGGGAAGUUGAGAAGUGCGAACACUUUGUGAAAGAGGCUCCACAACUAAGAGAAGCUGCCAGCAACAGGACUGCUCCGCAGCCCCCAAACCUGGGGUGUUAGGGCCAGUCAGGCCACUCUCCUACUUGACCCAAAUAGGGCCUCUUUGUUAAAUUCUUGUGGAGCAAGGAAAGAGAGGUCUUAUUCUGGAAUGAGCCCCUCAGAGACGUCCAGGGCCUAGGAAGAGCAGGAUAGGAGAAACCAGGGUCCCUCUUCCCGUUCCCCUGUGGCAGAGAUGCCAUUUUAUACUGCAGAGCCCUCUGAGAGACAUUUCUGCAGUUAUUCCUAAAACAGAGGCGCCAGAGAAUCAUUUGUGGAGGAAGAAGGGAAGAAGAGGAGGGACAGGCUGCUGGGACCAGGCAGCAAAGGACAGGCACCUACUAUGGGCCAGACUACGAUGGGGUGCCUGCUGGGAUCUGCAGUCCCACAAGAGGUGCAUUUCCCAGCCGGGCACGAGCUCUUGAGGAUGCCUAAUUACCCAGCGCACAUCUGGAGCAGCUGCGCCCUCGGACACAUUAUUUCACUCCAACCCCUAUUUUCAUUCCGGAGGUUGAGUCAUAAAAGACUCUAGAGGCAGAAUAAAGUCAGGUCUGUGUGUGUCAGCAUUCCUGUGUGUGAGUGUGUGUGUGAAUAUGUGCACGUCCGGGGCGACGUCUGUGCAUCUCACUGUGAUUGCCCAAUGGAUUCGCUAAAGUUAAGGGGAAAAAAUGGAGCAACAUCAGGCGAAUUCAACUGCGAACAUACUGUCAGCCUCAUUAUCCGCCCAUUUCAAGGGAAAGCAUUUGGGUCUUGGAAUUAGCCAGUUAAUUGCCUCACUUCUUUGUUCACUUUAGGGCAGGAGAAACUAUCUGCAUCCUAUUAAAGCAUUCUAUAUUUCAAAACUUUAAGAUCUCCUCAUUCUCAAUUUUCUUUAUUUCUAUCUUUAUAACACUUGAGCACUCAGAUCUGCCCGUAUCUCUCUCUCUCUCUCUCACACACACACACACACACACACACACACACACGUGUUUCAUGCUUGAAAAGUAACUCUUAGUUUCUGCAUCUGUAAAAUCUGGUAUCUUAACUCUUAAAGUUAAUGUAAGGAUUAAUUGAUGUACUAUGAUUUACUAUGUGUCUAGCAUUUAGCACAACACCUGGUGCAGAGGCAGCAUUUAGUAAACAGUAACUACUAAUAACAAGGAGGAGAAAGAAGAGAAAAGAGGAGGGGGAAAACGGGAAUAGGGGGUGAGUGGCAAGGAGGAAAUCUGCUUUGUUCACAGAGAGCCGGCCUAGGACGGAGAGUGUGUGUCUCAGCUGUAUAUGUAUAAUGUAUUCUUUUGACUUAGAGCAACGUCUAUAAAAGUGAGGCCCCUUGGACCCCUUGACCUGUAACUACCUCUUCAAUAAGGUACAGAGAAUUGGGGCAAUUAUCUGGCUCAUUUCAGGUUCAAACUCCCUUUAGCCUGAAGUAUCUGGAUCUCAUGGGAGAAAGGUCUGAGAAGUGGUGACUUGUAUUCCUUUGACUUUUCAAGGAGUUCUUUCUCUUUGCUGUGGUGAGCACGGUCCUGCCUUAGAAAAUGGGUAGACAAGAAAUAGGGGGCCAGGAAGCUGGAAUUAAACAGAACAUCUGAGAAAUGCUUGACAAAAACCAGGUCUUACCCACUUCCUGGGUACCCAGGAGGCGGCCCUGAAGUUCUCUAUGCACUCUCCCCAGAGGACCACCGCCCCACCGAAAGAAGUCAUAGGCUUUUGCCUGCUGGGGACUUUCAUUCCACAUUCAGCAAUCAUUUCCUGAGCACCUACUGUGCCCAGCACUGGGCUGAGCUCUGGAGCUUCAGCAGGGCUGCACCCUACCAGUUGGCAGUGCUGAUGUGGCAGCCAGCAAGAGGUCUUGGCUCCUAGAAACAAGUCCAGGACACAAGAAAGGGGACAAGCCUGCUGGUCAAAAACUUCUGGCCAAUAGCAGCACUGCCUUUUCAGGGCCAAAGUCCUAAUGCAGGGGUGGAGCCAGAAGGUCGGGAGCACCCCCUUCCAAUUGUCUAUCAGAAAAAGGCCAACUCCACGGUGCAGGGCCCAGUGCAGGGAGGGGUGGGGCAGGCAAAGAGAUGGCUAGAGGCUCCUGACCCUCAGUCGGAAGUUUCUGAGAACACCAAUCAGCUUUCUUUAAUUAGUAAAGUAAGGAGCCAAUGAGCAUAUAUUUCUUCUGCUCUGAUUAAAAGCAUUUAGGUCAGGUUUUCACAGCCAGGAUUAUCCAAUUUAAGCUGUCCCAAGAAGAGAAUUGUUUAUUUUUUUCUUUGUAUUUUCAGGCAGGGGUCUGAAUACUAUUAGCCAACCAUUGGUUUCUUGUCACAGCCUCGAACUGCUGGGCAGGUGGGUGGUGGUUGUACAGCGCAGAGAGUGGCAACUAGAAAUGAGUUGGAGUCUUUCCUGUGCCAAGUCACAUUCGUUUGAAAUAUAUAGACAAUUGAGGAGCAGCCAGGAGGGCUUGGGUUUGGAGUAUAAGUAUGUUUGGAGGGGGAGGGUACAAUUAGCCAGAUAAUUUCCAGUUAUCCUAAUUUGUCUUAACAUAGUCCUCGAAAAAUGAAGUUUAUUUACUUCCCAGACCCCAAAGAAGCCUGAUUUUUCUCCUGGGAGAUUUAGCUUGGUCAAUUCACACAGGUGGGGAGAUGGCCAGGAAACUUAAUAGGCUGGGGAAGAACAGCUAAGUCCUUCUUUACACUCUGUGUCUAAACAGGCCACAACGCAUGAGGCUGGGCGUAAUUAGGAGGUCCCCCAGGAUAGUCAGGGGUCACAUGCUGUUUAUCUCUUACAAACAAGAUUACUAAAAUAUUAGGGAGCAAAUCCUU